rnacentral:rRNA from 1 species
CCUACGGGCGGCAGCAGUGAGGAAUAUUGGUCAAUGGGCGCGAGACUGCCCCAGCCAAGUCGCGUGAAGGAUGACUGCCCUACGGGUUGUAAACUUCUUUUAUAAAGGAAUAAAGUGAGGCACGUGUGCAUUUUUGUAUGUACUUUAUGACUAAGGCACGGCUAACUACGUUCCAGCAGCCGCGGUAAUACGGAGGAUCCGAGCGUUAUCCGGAUGUAUUGGGUUGAAAGGGAGCGUAGAUGGGUUGUUAAGUCAGUUGUGAAAUUUUGCGGAUCAACCGUAAAAUUGCAAUUGAUACUGGCAGCCUUGAGUACAGUUGAGGUAGGCGGAAUUCGUGGUGUAGCGGUGAAAUGCUUAGAUAUCACGAAGAACUCCGAGUGCGAAGGCAGCCUACUAAACUGCCACUGACAUUGAUGCUCGAAAGUGUGGGUAUCAAACAGGAUUAGAUACCCUUGUAGUC